UGCAAAGCUAGUUCGCCUCCACGUGGUGCACCCUGGGUAACGCUAAAUGAACUAGCAAAGAUUUUCAGUCAGACAAUUGAGACAAUCCUAGGAUCUCCUGUCCAUAAGAUCCAUUUCACAAAGUUUCACUUUUUUUAAGAGAUAUGAUGCUAUCAAACGAGGCUAACGGUCUUUCUCUUUAUUGUUUUUCUUCUAAUUGUAUUUCUUAAUCUCUUCUUUAUGUGUAUUAUUUCUUAUUUUACUGUAAUUCUUCUAAGACUUCCAAGUCUUUGAUUUCAUUUCUGUUGAUGCCUACAUGGGAUUGUAUAGUUUUCGAUUCUUGAAUGGGAUAUUGUACUGCUUUGGAACAAGGAUUUUUGGACAAGAACAGCUGCACUUCAAUUCAACCACCCUCAUCAAGAUACCAUAUGGUUGAUUAUAUUCAACAUUCAAUGGUGGAAUAGGAUGAAAUUCAUCAUUGAAGAGGAAUAAAAUAAUUUUAGACAUUAAUAAUAGCACAUAUGAGCACACAUUCUUCAUGCAUCCUUUCACAGAAGAGGAGGUAGGGGUGAUCUCAGAGAAGGUAGCUAAUCUUUGACCAAGGGUUAAGUCCGAUGCAGGAAGAUAAAAAGCAUCGGGAGACAAAGAUUUAUGGCAAAUUGAGGCUUAUCUAACACAGUUCAGCCAUAUCUACAACUACGACUUUGAAACUAAACAAAUAGGCUUUAUCGUCGUGGCAGUUGAUGGUUAUGUCCUUCUUCAUCUGCAACAGUUUGAAGAAGAUGCCCAUUACAUUGAAUAAAUUCAACAUUCGACAGUGGAAUCACGAAAUUCAACAUUGAAGAGAACCUAAAUCAUUUUAGAUUUUGUACAACAAAUCGAUGGUUGUAUACAGUUCCAGGGCAGUACAUUUAUCCUUUUGAUGAAUAUUACCAACAAUGCAUCAGGACUUACAAGUAUAUCUAAUUUU